AAAUUGAAGAGUUUGAUCAUGGCUCAGAUUGAACGCUGGCGGCAGGCCUAACACAUGCAAGUCGAACGGUAACAGGAAGAAGCUUGCUGCUUUGCUGACGAGUGGCGGACGGGUGAGUAAUGUCUGGGAAACUGCCUGAUGGAGGGGGAUAACUACUGGAAACGGUAGCUAAUACCGCAUAACGUCGCAAGACCAAAGAGGGGGACCUUCGGGCCUCUUGCCAUCGGAUGUGCCCAGAUGGGAUUAGCUAGUAGGUGGGGUAACGGCUCACC
rnacentral:rRNA from 1 species